rnacentral:rRNA from 1 species
UACGGAGGGUGCAAGCGUUAUCCGGAUUCACUGGGUUUAAAGGGUGUGUAGGCGGGUCUUUAAGUCAGUGGUGAAAUCUCCGAGCUUAACUUGGAAACUGCCAUUGAUACUAUUGAUCUUGAAUUUUGUUGAGGUAGGCGGAAUAUGUCAUGUAGCGGUGAAAUGCAUAGAUAUGACAUAGAACACCAAUUGCGAAGGCAGCUUACUACACAGUUAUUGACGCUGAGGCACGAAAGCGUGGGGAUCAAACAGG